CUCAGUUGCAUCCCCAAAUUUUCCCGAAAGUUGCUUUUGCAGCAAAGCACUCAGGUCCCAGAGUGCUCCCGGCCCAUGACUGGCUGUUUGGGAACCAGCGGCGGGAGGCACAGGAGGCGUGAGAGCGCGCCCAGGAGACUGGGCUGCGGGGACGCCUGCCUGGUCUCAGCUGGUGACCGUCUGCAGAGCAGCUCCGGAGCCCCUGUGCCACCCUGGCCGCACAGCCGCUGCCGAAGUUGCGCUCCCUUAGGUUAAGACGGUGCCUUCUUCAGGCAUCUUCCUCUAAAGAGGGUUGUGGCAUGAAUCUGAACAACUCGCGCUCGUCCUUAGAGAAGGUUGAAUGCCAAGGCCCAAGAGGGUCGCAUUCUUGAAGGGGAAAGGAGGCACUUCCAGACACUGUCAACCCAAGAUCAGCCAACUUGCUCCAAAUUUGAGACUUCGAACUCUGUUUCGCCCAUGUGAUUUUGCGGGACCCCUCCCCAGGAGGGCAGUGAGUCAAUGCCUCACAAUUGAACGAGACUGACCCGGCCACCCAGUGUUUCCAAGGUCAACAUCACCAUUCUAUUGGCCUACCCCUGGAGCAGCUGGUUGUGAGAUUCUCUCCCCUCUCCAUUUUUCUCCUUCUUUUUCUCAAGAGUUAGAAGUUACUGACCUCUCCUGUAUCUUCUGUGAUGCGGCCUCUGCCUCCUUCGUGGCCUACCUCUCUCACAGCCGUCGCCUGGAAUGCUUCCCUCUUUUCCUCAGCCACAUUGUCUUCUGUGACAGGCCACCCCAUGUCCAGCCAUUUCAGUAUCUGGUCAGCCAGCUGCACUACCUCAAGGUCCUUCUGCGCCAUUCAGCCCUGCCAGAGCGUCCCUCUCACUGUGUUCCUCGAAUACUUGGCACUCUCCAGAAUUGGGCCUUGCGGAAUCUUUUCUACCAUGUCCGUGAGCAGGUUAUGCCCUACUUUUUUCAGUUAUCCAACCUUCGGGAUGCUCGGUCCAGGGCAAUCCACCCUACCACUGAAGGUCUUUUCAUUGGCCAUACCUUGUGGAGAAACAGCACUGAAUCUGAGCAAGGCCAGCACCAACCUCAAGUACUGGCCCCAGACACUUCUGGAGAAUAGAGAGUAAGUUUUUCAGGCAAGAUGCCCUCAAAACCUCUCCCAUUUUCUCUCUCAGAGUUGAAGAAAUAGGAAGUCCUGAGACAUUUCUCCAAACCUGCUUCUCUUGACCUCAUCCCUCCCUUUUAAAAUAUAGGAGACAGUUCUGCUGCUUCUCUUCCCUCCACCUCACCCCCUGCACUGCAGCCUCAGAAAGCUGGGGGAUAUGGAUCCAGACCAUUUAAAUAAGAGACUCCUGGUCUUUCUAUGUAACAUUUAUAAUGAAAUCCCAGUAUCAUUUAGAUAAUAGUUUUAAGGAUGGCCUUAAAAUCAGAAAAUCAGAUGGGCCAGACACAUAAUGCAAAUUGGAGAUGACUGCUGGACUAGAACCAUUACCGACUAGAUUCCACGGGACAUCAAAAGAAUGCCUGGCCACUCACUGACGAGAUGGUCAGACUUCUUCGUCAAGACCAUGAAUGAAUGAUUUGAGGCUCUUCGUGUUCCUGGAGUGAGCAGACGCCAUUGGGCUACACUAGCACAUGAAAGGGUUGAAUGGAGAUGUUACUGGCACCCACCAGAGCAAAUCAAUGAGCAACAGGAUGACAAGUGAUACAAGGAAGGGCUAGUGGGUAACUCAUGCCCAAACUGCCCUUUGGAUGGUGGGGGCAGUACUUGACUGGAAGAAAUACCCUCAUAAAAUGCAACCUUCAAUUCCUGACUUUUCCUCUUAACUGGUCCAGGGAGUCAUCAUUUACUGCAAGGGCCAUUAAAAGAUUAGCAAUCUUCUUGUCUCUCAGGGCAAUGCUUUAGAUUCAGGAAAACCCUUACCUCUGACCCCCUUCCUGAGUACCCCUAAAUACUGAGGAAGAAUGGGAAGGAAAAGUAAAAUGGUAGCGUGGGAACUGAUGGGAAAUAGAGGACAGAUAGGUAAUACCCCCAAAGGGUCCCAGUCAAAAUUGGUAAAAUACCUCCAUUAUAGUCUUGGGGAAAGAGCAACUUAUGGGCUGAUGGACAGAAUUUUCUUUGGUAAGGGGCCCCAAGGAACAAAGCAUGCAUGCCAGUCCUGCUAGAUAAGCUUAUUAAAAUACAACCUCAAGGCUGCCACCACUGGUGGAAAGGGUCCAACAAAGAAACAUUCCGGGUCAGACUGGCCUGUAGGUGUUUCUCAAGCAACUUCCUAUGGAGGAGACAAGGUAGUCCUCCUCCAGGUACCUCCACAGGAUGGGGAGAAAUGUAUCCCACCCCCAGCUCCACAAAAAAUGCAUCAGCAGUAGUGGGGUCCUCCUGAAGGAAAGCUUCCCUUACUUUGGGCUUCCCAGGUUCCUACAAAGUCUUGGUGGCCCUAUUCACUUCUCCCAGAUCACUCAGGAAAUUGAGCAGAGACAUGAUCCUGGAUAGGUAGGGACAACGCCCUGCGUCUGUCUGAAAUAGCUUCACAAGAUGGAUCUUCGUCCCAAAUUCCAGAAAGGAACUUUGGGGUAUCAUGUCUCUGGGGGAAGAGGGGGGAAAAUUAGGGACAAAUCCCUCCCAGUGUCCAGGAUGUGGCUCCACAUAGUACCAAGUUAGAGCCUGCCCAGUGCCUUCCCACAUGCUCCCCAGGACAUCCUAGUUUAUUUGGCCUGAUUGGGAGAUAUGGUGGAGCCGAAAGUCAUGGUGCACCCUGGUAAGACUGAUCCUAAACAUCACCUCUGUAAUGCCCUACCUCAUUGAAAGCUCGUGCCUGUGGACUGCAUCUCGUACAUCUAAUGGAAAACAGUUACGGAAUGGAUAGAGUCUCAAAGCACUCCAGGGGGCUUAUCUGUCUCAUGAGAGCUCAAAAGACAGAAUUAUCCUGAUAGGAACCUAUCAAAGCCAAGAAGAUGCUGGUAGUUUAGAAGCAUUCUCACUUAAGCCCCGCUGAAAGGUGGUAAAGUGUUAUGCAUGACACCCUGUCUGUUAUAACAGUACUAUA